rnacentral:tRNA from 3 species
UCCCCUAUAGCUCAGCGGUAGAGCAGGUGGCUGUUAACCACUUGGCCGGAGGUUCAAGUCCUUCUGGGGGAG